rnacentral:rRNA from 1 species
UACGUAGGGGGCAAGCGUUGUCCGGAAUCAUUGGGCGUAAAGAGCGUGUAGGCGGUUCGGUAAGUCGGCUGUGAAAGUCCAGGGCUCAACCCUGGGAUGCCGGUGGAUACUGUCGGGCUCGAGUCCGGAAGAGGCGAGUGGAAUUCCUGGUGUAGCGGUGAAAUGCGCAGAUAUCAGGAGGAACACCAAUGGCGAAGGCAGCUCGCUGGGACGUGACUGACGCUGAGACGCGAAAGCGUGGGGAGCAAACAGG